UGGGGAAUAUUGGACAAUGGGCGAAAGCCUGAUCCAGCCAUGCCGCGUGUGUGAAGAAGGUCUUCGGAUAGUAAAGCACUUUAAGCGAGGAGGAGGGUACUGGUAUUAAUACUACCAGGUACUGGACGUUACUCGCAGAAUAAGCACCGGCUAACUCUGUGCCAGCAGCCGCGGUAAUACAGCGGGUGCGAGCGUUAAUCGGAUUUACUGGGCGUAAAGCGUGCGUAGGCGGCUAAUUGAGUCGGAUGUGAAAUCCCCGAGCUUAACUUGGGAAUUGCAUUCGAUACUGGUUAGCUAGAGUGUUGGAGAGGAUGGUAGAAUUCCAGGUGUAGCGGUGAAAUGCGUAGAGAUCUGGAGGAAUACCGAUGGCGAAGGCAGCCAUCUGGCCUAACACUGACGCUGAGGUACGAAAGCAUGGGGAGCAAACAGG
rnacentral:rRNA from 1 species